rnacentral:rRNA from 1 species
CAUGGGGGAUAACGUAGCGAAAGUUACGCUAAUACCGCAUAUGCCCUGAGGGGGAAAGGUGGGGAUCGCAAGACCUAUCGUUUUCGGAGUGGCCGAUAUCAGAUUAGCUAGUUGGUGGGGUAAAGGCCCACCAAGGCGACGAUCUGUAGCGGGUCUGAGAGGAUGAUCCGCCACACUGGGACUGAGACACGGCCCAGACUCCUACGGGAGGCAGCAGUGGGGAAUUUUGGACAAUGGGGGCAACCCUGAUCCAGCCAUGCCGCGUGAGUGAAGAAGGCCUUCGGGUUGUAAAGCUCUUUCAGCCGGAAAGAAAUCGCGCAGGCUAAUAUCCUGUGUGGAUGACGGUACCGGAAGAAGAAGCACCGGCUAACUACGUGCCAGCAGCCGCGGUAAUACGUAGGGUGCGAGCGUUAAUCGGAAUUACUGGGCGUAAAGCGUGCGCAGGCGGUUUUGUAAGACAGGCGUGAAAUCCCCGGGCUUAACCUGGGAACUGCGUUUGUGACUGCAAGGCUAGAGUGUGGCAGAGGGGGGUAGAAUUCCG